CAGAGAAAAGCGGAAGGCUGGAGCGCGGUGGGUUAAAUAACGCUCGCUGAUUGGUGCGCGGCUCGCAGGAGGUAUCUGAUUGGUGGAGAUGGUCCCGCCUCCUGCUAUAUAAGGCGUGUGGCGGUGUGAGAAACCUGUACUUUGGUCCAUUAAGAUGAAGCACUACUAAUCCUAAGGUUCCACAAUAUAAUCUUUAUGCCUAGAAAACAAAUAAAACCAGCCAUGCACAUGUUAAUUGUGUAGCCCAAAAAUCUAUUGACCAGCCGUUGCAACCUUGGCCCCUGAAAUUAGGAGAGUACCCCUUUAAUGACCACUGCAUGUAAAGAGGCCUGCAAAGAUAAGUAUUCAGAAAUUACUUAUAUUGGCAUGUGAACAUUGUGCAGCGCUGUGCCGUAGCUCUCUCUGAGCCAUCGGCAAUGCUGGGUGGGGUCCCUGAAGCUCCCAUUGUCUUAAUUAGGAGCAUCAACAUGUAAAUGUCACGCUCUUGGUUAUUAGGGCUGCCAUAUACGUCAGAUUUACUGGGCUUGCAGGAAGAGGUGCCAACAGCAGCUUGAGCCUAGAUAACUCUAAAGUCCUAGAUGUAGUGGGCGAAAGAUAAUUUCAGGAGAUCUUCAUUUCACCGUUUAUAUGCUAUUCUCUGGAGAAGGGGAAAAUCAUCUGUUGAAUAGCCACAUGGUCUAAGGUUGGAUAAAUCCAGAUUAUAAUUCCCUUUAGACUUACAGUAUAUCUAUAUAUAUUAAUUUGUCAUAGGGUGAAGGAACCUGUGCCACUAGAAAUCUCUUCUCAUCUGUCUUGCUGAUGAGUGGACUGAUUGCCUGAAACUGGUUGUAUAAUUUGGAAAGUUUUGGAAAUGCCUCCUAAACCUAAAGAUCAUAGGAGAUCGGGCAAUAAUACCUCGCCUAAGGCACCGCCCACAUCAGCCAGAAUUGACAAAUAUAUGAAAUCUCAAACUAUUGCAAAAACUCGAAAUGUGAAAGAUCUGUCCCCUAAAGGAAGAGGAUCGAGAUUUGAUAUUUUAAAGGAGGUGGGAGUAAUGGAGGAUAUGGAGAGUAAAGGGGAUCAGAACAUAACAUUGCAUAAUACCAUGAAGGAGAUACAAGCUUGUAAUAUGUCAAUAAAAGAGUUAACUACUUAACUACACAUCUAGGCAAGCUUACAACAGAAAUGCCAGUAAUGAGAGAUGAGAUGGCGAAUAUCAGACACAGAAUUACAUACACAGAGAAGGAGGUCCUGGGUGUACAGGCUGAUAUAUCAGCAAUGCAGAAGAAGAUUGAAGAAUUGGGUAAACAAAAUCUGCUCUUCCAGACAAAAAUCUACGAUAUUGAAGAUCGAUCGCGUAGAGGGAAUCUUCCUAUAUUGGGAAUUCCCAAGGGGCCUGAAGUGAAAAAUCCUAUCCAAUUCUGUAUCAAAUGGUUGAAGGAAACCUUCUCCAAUAUGGUACUGUCUCCUAACCUCUCCAUUGAGAGAGCCCACAGGGUACCCUCACAGAGACUACCACCUGGGAAUGCCCCAAGGACUACGUUUAUUAAAUUGUUGUCGGUGGCAGAUAGAGAUUUAAUAUUAAGAGCGGCUAGAGGGAUGAAAGAUUUAGAAUAUAAUGGUUCUAAUACUGCCAUUUAUCCAGAUUUUUCUAAAAAUACGCAAAGAUCCAGGAGGACUUUUAGAGAUGUGAAAAGAAGACUUUUUAAUGCUAAAAUUCAAUACUCUUUAUUGUUUCCUGCUAAACUAAGGGUGGUGUUUAAAGAAAAAAACCUUCUUCUUUCAGGAUGCAGUGGAGGCAAUGAAAUGGGCCGGGACGGGUUAGUGGAGGCA